rnacentral:tRNA from 1 species
GGCCGCGUGGCCUAAUGGAUAAGGCGUCUGACUUCGAAUCAGAAGAUUGCAGGUUCGAAUCCUGCCGUGGUCG